GAGUUUGAUCCUGGCUCAGGAUGAACGCUAGCGACAGGCUUAACACAUGCAAGUCGAGGGGCAGCGGUGGUGAAGGCUUGCCUUUACCAGCCGGCGACCGGCGCACGGGUGAGUAACACGUAUGCAACCUGCCUGCCACAGCCGGAUAAUCGGGAGAAAUUCCGUCUAAUACGGCAUAAUGCAUCGACGGGACAUCCUGUUGGUGCCAAAGGUUAAUUCCGGUGGCGGAUGGGCAUGCGUCGCAUUAGUUAGUUGGCGGUGUAACGGACCACCAAGACGACGAUGCGUAGGGGUUCUGAGAGGAAGGUCCCCCACACUGGUACUGAGACACGGACCAGACUCCUACGGGAGGCAGCAGUGAGGAAUAUUGGUCAAUGGGCGGGAGCCUGAACCAGCCAAGUCGCGUGAGGGAUGACGGCCCUAUGGGUUGUAAACCUCUUUUGCCGGGGAGCAAAGUGCCGCACGUGUGCGGUUUGGAGAGUACCCGGAGAAAAAGCAUCGGCUAACUCCGUGCCAGCAGCCGCGGUAAUACGGAGGAUGCGAGCGUUAUCCGGAUUUAUUGGGUUUAAAGGGUGCGUAGGCGGACGCUUAAGUCAGCGGUAAAAUUGCGGGGCUCAACCUCGUCGAGCCGUUGAAACUGGGUGCCUUGAGUGGGCGAGAAGUACGCGGAAUGCGUGGUGUAGCGGUGAAAUGCAUAGAUAUCACGCAGAACUCCGAUUGCGAAGGCAGCGUACCGGCGCCCGACUGACGCUGAGGCACGAAAGCGUGGGUAUCGAACAGGAUUAGAUACCCUGGUAGUCCACGCGGUAAACGAUGAAUGCUAGUUGUCCGGGGCGAUUGAGUUCUGGGUGACACAGCGAAAGCGUUAAGCAUUCCACCUGGGGAGUACGCCGGCAACGGUGAAACUCAAAGGAAUUGACGG
rnacentral:rRNA from 1 species